rnacentral:rRNA from 1 species
AACGAACGCUGGCGGCAGGCUUAACACAUGCAAGUCGAACGCAUCCUUCGGGGUGAGUGGCAGACGGGUGAGUAACGCGUGGGAACGUGCCCUUCAGUUCGGGAUAACCCAGGGAAACUUGGGCUAAUACCGGAUACGUGCGAGAGCAGAAAGAUUUAUCGCUGAAGGAUCGGCCCGCGUCUGAUUAGCUAGUUGGUGGGGUAAUGGCCCACCAAGGCGACGAUCAGUAGCUGGUCUGAGAGGAUGAUCAGCCACAUUGGGACUGAGACACGGCCCAAACUCCUACGGGAGGCAGCAGUGGGGAAUAUUGGACAAUGGGCGCAAGCCUGAUCCAGCCAUGCCGCGUGAGUGAUGAAGGCCUUAGGGUUGUAAAGCUCUUUCGUCCGGGACGAUAAUGACGGUACCGGAAGAAGAAGCCCCGGCUAACUUCGUGCCAGCCGCCGCCGUAA